rnacentral:misc_RNA from 1 species
CACACGAAACUCGAAAUUGCCCGAAGGGCGGCGCGGCGGCUUCACAUUGAUCGAACUGCUGGUCGUCAUCGCGAUCAUCGCGAUUCUCGCGGCGCUGCUGCUUCCCGCGCUCGCGCGCGCCAAAAACGUCGCCAAACGCACCGCCUGCCUGAGCAACCUCCGGCAAUGGGGCCUCGCCCUGGCGAUCUAUUACGACGACAAUGAGGGUUACAUCCCGCGCGAGAGCUUCGGCAGCGGCACGGUGCUGAACAACUGGGCCCAGGUGCGCGAUGUGAACAAUUACGACGUGUGGUACAACUCCGUGCCGCCCGUGAUGAACCAGCCGCGCGCCGCGGAUUACUUCACGCGCCGGGCUGAUUUUUACGCCGUCAACAGCUUCUUCCACUGUCCCGUGGUGAAA